ACACGUAGGGGCCUGACGUUGUUCGGAAUCAUUGGGCGUAAAGGGCGCGCAGGCGGCCGUCCAAGUCCGGUGUUAAAUGGUCGGGCUCAACCCGAUCAUGCGCUGGAAACUGGGCGGCUUGAGUCCCGUAGGGGAUGCCGGAAUUCCAGGUGUAGGGGUGAAAUCUGUAGAUAUCUGGAAGAACACCGAUGGCGAAGGCAGGUAUCUGGCCGGAGACUGACGCUGAGGCGCGAAGGCGCGGGGAGCGAACAGGUUUAGAUACCCUGGUAGUCCGCGCAGUAAACGAUGCGCACCAGGUGUCGGGCGGCAGCGCCCGGUACCGGAGCUAACGCGAUGAGUGCGCCGCCUGGGGAGUAUGCCCGCAAGGGUGAAACUCAAAGGAAUUGGCGGGG
rnacentral:rRNA from 1 species